AUGGCAGGCCAAGAGGACCCGGUGCCCCGGGAGAUUCACCAGGACUGAGCGAACCGCGGGUACAUCGAGGUCAUCACCAGCAGCAUCAAGAAGAUCUCGGACUUUCUCAACUCGUUCGAUUUGUUUUGUCGUUCAAGACUCGCAACGCUAAACGAGAAAUUGACAGCCCUUGAACGGAGAAUAGAGUACAUCGAAGCACAGGUGACAAAAGGUGAGACACUCACCCAGAAGUAUGCCAUGCUGCUGCUGGGAAGUUGCUUGACAGAAAGCAGGCCCUGUGGGAAAGGCCCCAGCAACCUUCAGCUCCCUCCUUUCUCCUUAAAGAGCAACAGGGCUUAUUCUCGUUUUUCUUUUUUCAAAAGUGUGGCCUUUGGGCUCUGCCAUAUGCCUCUGGGGGUGUGACGUGGCUUGU